rnacentral:rRNA from 1 species
GAUGAACGCUGGCGGCGUGCCUAAUACAUGCAAGUCGAGCGAACGGACGAGAAGCUUGCUUCGUUGAUGUUAGCGGCAGACGGGUGAGUAACACGUGGAUAACCUACCUAUAAUACUGGGAUAACUUCGGGAAACCGGAUCUAAUACCGGAGAAUAUUUUGCACCGCAUUGUUCAAAAGUGAAAUACGGUCUUGCGGUCUCGUAUAGAUGGAUCCGCGCUGCAUUAGCUAGUUGGGAGGGUAAAGGGUUACCAAGGCAACGAGGCAUAGCCGAAGGGAGAGGGGGAUAGGCGGCCUUGGAAGUGGGACACGCACCAGACUCCUAAGGGAGGGAGCAGUAGGGAACCUUCCGCAGUGGGGGAAAGUCUGACGGAACAAGCGCGAGUGAGAGAUAACAGUCUUCGGAUCGUAAAACUCUGUUAUUAGUGAUGAACAUAUGUGUAAGUAACUGUGCACAUAUUGACGGUACCUAAUCAGGAAGCAACGGCUAACUACGUG